rnacentral:tRNA from 1 species
GCUUUCGUGGUGUAGUGGUCACCACGCUCGACGCAUAACCGAGAGGUCCGUGGUUCGAUUCCCGGUGAAGGCG